GGAGGGAAACGAAUGCAGCUGAAUUAGCUCUGCUCAAGUUCAGGAGGAUGUUGAUUGGUGAUGCCAGCGUGCAAAAGCCGAUAGGUUUUGUCGUCGGAUAGCCGCCAGCACUCUUGUGCAAGCUGGCCAACAACAGUUACCCGUGGCUGAGAAGGGAACCUUAUAGCCAUCAGUGACUGAGGAUAACAGUGCAGGCCUUUGGGCCGCUUCUGGUCGUUUCACCGCGGUAGGGGCAGUGUCUGUUGACGGCUGUCUGCUCGGACGGGAGACCGGUCACACCUUGCGCUGUAGUUGUUGGUGAUCAAAUGGCUGCAUCCGACCCGUCUUGAAACACGGACCAAGGAGUGCAACAUGCGUGCGAGUCUUUGGGUGGCAAACCCAGCGGCGCAAUGAAAGUGAAGGCAGGCCACAUCGUCAACCGAUCCCAGGUCACGCUGUGGCGGGAUUUGAGUGAGAGCGUGCCUGUUGCGACCCGAAAGAUGGUGAACUAUGCCUGAAUAGGGUGAAGCCAGAGGAAACUCUGGUGGAAGCUCGUAGCGAUUCUGACGUGCAAAUCGAUCGUCAAAUUUGGGUAUAGGGGCGAAAGACUAAUCGAACCAUCUAGUAGCUGGUUCCCUCCG
rnacentral:rRNA from 1 species